GCAGCAGGCACGCAAAUUACCCACUCCCGGCACGGGGAGGUAGUGACAAAAAAUAACGAUACGGGACUCUAUUGAGGCCCCGUAAUCGGAAUGAGUACACUUUAAAUCCUUUAACAAGGAUCCAUUGGAGGGCAAGUCUGGUGCCAGCAGCCGCGGUAAUUCCAGCUCCAAUAGCGUAUAUUAAAGUUGUUGCGGUUAAAAAGCUCGUAGUUGGUUCUGCGUGCCGCGCUGUCGGUUCGCCGCCUGUCGGUGUAACUGGCAUGUCGCGGCAUGUCCUGUCGGUGGUGAGCAGGGUCCACGAUACUACUUUGACUUCUUUAGUCAAUGUUAGUGCCGUGUGUACUUUUGUUCGCCGAUCUCUCCUACUUCGGUGCUCUUAAACGAGUGUCGAGGUAGGCCGACACGUUCACUUUGAACAAAUUAGAGUGCUUAAAGCAGGCUGAAAUAUCUGCUUGAAUAGUGGUGCAUGGAAUGAUAAAACAGGACCUCAGUUCUAUUUUGUUGGUUUUAGGAAUAUGAGGUAAUGAUCAAUAUGGACUGGCGGGGGCAUUCGUAUUGCGACGUUAGAGGUGAAAUUCUUGGAUCGUCGCAAGACGCACUAGAGCGAAAGCAUUUGCCAAGUAUGUCUUAAUUGAUCAAGAACGAAAGUUAGAGGUUCGAAGGCGAUCAGAUACCGCCCUAGUUCUAACCAUAAACGAUGCCAGCCAGCGAUCCGCCGAUGUUCCUUUAAUGACUCGGCGGGGAGCUUCCACCCGGAAAACCAAAGCUUUUGGGUUCCGGGGGAAGUAUGGUUGCAAAGCUGAAACUUAAAGGAAUUGACGGAAGGGCACCACCAGGAGUGGAGCCUGCGGCUUAAUUUGACUCAACACGGGAAACCUCACCAGGCCAGGACAUUGGAAGGAUUGACAGAUUGAUAGCUCUUUCUUGAUUCAGUGGGUAGUGGUGCAUGGCCGUUC
rnacentral:rRNA from 1 species